UACAGAGGUGGCAAGCGUUGUUCGGAAUUACUGGGCGUAAAGGGCGCGUAGGCGGUCUUGUAAGUCCUGUGUGAAAUCCCUCGGCUCAACUGAGGAACUGCACGGGAAACUGCUUGGCUUGAGUUCGGGAGAGGGAAGCGGAAUUCCGGGUGUAGCGGUGAAAUGCGUAGAUAUCCGGAGGAACACCGGUGGCGAAGGCGGCUUCCUGGACCGACACUGACGCUGAGGCGCGAAAGCUAGGGGAGCAAACAGG
rnacentral:rRNA from 1 species